rnacentral:rRNA from 1 species
GACGAACGCUGGCGGCGUGCUUAACUCAUGCAAGUCGAACGAAAAGGCCCUGCUUUUGUUGCUUGCUCGAGUGCCGAACGGGUGUGUAACACGUGAAUGACCUCCCCUUGACUUUGGGAUAACUUCAGGAAACUCGGGCUAAUACCGGAUAUGAUCUCCUGCUGCAUGGUGGUGGUUGGAAAGUUUCGGCGGUUGUGGCUGGAUUCGCGGCUUAUCGGCUUGUUUGUGGGGUAGUUGCUUACCAAGGCUUUGACGGAUAGCCGGCAUGAGAGGGUGACCGGCGACAUUGGGACUGAGGGACGGACCAGAAUGCUACGGGAGGCAGCAGGGGGAAAUAUGGCGGAAUGGGCGGAAGCGUGAUGCAGAAACGUUGCGUGCGGGAUGACGGCCUUCGGGGUGUAAACAGACUUCGACGGUGAUGAAGAGUGAGUGACGGUAAUGAGUAAAGAAGCAACGGCUAACUACGUG